UUUUAUGAGAGUUUGAUCCUGGCUCAGGACGAACGCUGGCGGCGUGCCUAAUACAUGCAAGUCGUACGCUUCUUUUUCCACCGGAGCUUGCUCCACCGGAAAAAGAGGAGUGGCGAACGGGUGAGUAACACGUGGGUAACCUGCCCAUCAGAAGGGGAUAACACUUGGAAACAGGUGCUAAUACCGUAUAACAAUCGAAACCGCAUGGUUUUGAUUUGAAAGGCGCUUUCGGGUGUCACUGAUGGAUGGACCCGCGGUGCAUUAGCUAGUUGGUGAGGUAACGGCUCACCAAGGCCACGAUGCAUAGCCGACCUG
rnacentral:rRNA from 1 species